rnacentral:rRNA from 1 species
UGGCGGACGGGUGAGUAUGUCUGGGAAACUGCCCGAUGGGAGGGGAUAACUACUGGAAACGGUAGCUAAUACCGCAUAACGUCGCAAGACCAAAGAGGGGGACCUUCGGGCCUCUUGCCAUCGGAUGUGCCCAGAUGGGAUUAGCUAGUAGGUGGGGUAACGGCUCACCUAGGCGACGAUCCCUAGCUGGUCUGAGAGGAUGACCAGCCACACUGGAACUGAGACACGGUCCAG